UAACGUUCCUUCGGGAACGUUGGAGCGGCGGACGGGUGAGUAACGCGUGGGCAAUCUGCCCUCUAGCCUGGGAUAACAGUUCGAAAGGACUGCUAACACCGGAUAUUAUGAUUCCGAGGCAUCUUGGGAUUAUGAAAGUUUACACUAGAGGAUGAGCCCGCGUCCCAUUAGCUAGUUGGUGAGGUAACGGCCCACCAAGGCGACGAUGGGUAGCCGACCUGAGAGGGUGAACGGCCACACUGGGACUGAGACACGGCCCAGACUCCUACGGGAGGCAGCAGUGG
rnacentral:misc_RNA from 1 species